UACAGAGGGUGCGAGCGUUAAUCGGAAUUACUGGGCGUAAAGCGUGCGUAGACGGUUAUGUAAGUCGGAUGUGAAAGCCCCGGGCUCAACCUGGGAAUUGCAUUCGAGACUGCAUAGCUAGGAUGCGGAAGAGGGCAGUGGAAUUUCCGGUGUAGCGGUGAAAUGCGUAGAUAUCUGGAGGAACACCGGUGGCGAAGGCGGCAUCCUGGACCAACACUGACGCUGAGGAGCGAAAGCCAGGGGAGCAAACGGG
rnacentral:rRNA from 1 species